rnacentral:rRNA from 1 species
GACGAACGCUGGCGGCGUGCUUAACACAUGCAAGUCGAACGGAAAGGCCCUUUCGGGGGUACUCGAGUGGCGAACGGGUGAGUAACACGUGGGUGAUCUGCCCUGCGCUUUGGGAUAAGCCUGGGAAACUGGGUCUAAUACCGGAUAGGACUCUUGGCUGCAUGGUUGAGAGUGGAAAGCUUUUGCGGUGUGGGAUGGGCCCGCGGCCUAUCAGCUUGUUGGUGGGGUGAUGGCCUACCAAGGCGACGACGGGUAGCCGGCCUGAGAGGGUGUCCGGCCACACUGGGACUGAGAUACGGCCCAGACUCCUACGGGAGGCAGCAGUGGGGAAUAUUGCACAAUGGGCGCAAGCCUGAUGCAGCGACGCCGCGUGAGGGAUGACGGCCUUCGGGUUGUAAACCUCUUUCACUAGGGACGAAGCGCAAGUGACGGUACCUAGAGAAGAAGCACCGGCCAACUACGUGCCAGCCGCCGCUGUAAUAC